rnacentral:tRNA from 1 species
GGACGGGUGGCCGAGUGGUUUAAGGCGCACGCCUGGAAAGUGUGUGUACGUUCAUAGCGUACCGUGAGUUCGAAUCUCACCCCGUCCG